rnacentral:lncRNA from 1 species
UGCCUGGUGCCUUUCUAUUCCUUAAACUUUUUAGUGCUCUCUGGAUUUCUAGUUUGGUUGGCGCAUAAAGAUCUAUAUCUAAUUCUAAUGGUGUUUCUGUGAUAUCGAUGCUAACUGUAUUUUCUGGUUCUUUUCUAUUGAGAACUUCUUGAAAAUGUUCUUUCCAUCUUUCCUUUUGUUCUUUUUCGGAUGAUAAUGUGUUGUUUUGUUUGUCUUUAAUUGGCAUGCUCUUAUUAGUUGCAUAGCUGUUUUACAA